rnacentral:lncRNA from 1 species
UUCUUAAAAUGAAAUUUUUUUUCAUCUAAAUCCUUUAAAUUUUAAAAAAAAUUUAAAUUAGUAAAUGUAAAGUUGCACUUUGACGUCCCUUAAAAAUAUAAAAAUUUGAUUUAAUCCUUUAAAAAUUAUAAAAAUAUAUUAAAAUGGUAAAAUUACUUUUUUACUAUUAUAAAGAAUACAAUUUAAUUUCGACCAUUAACAAUUUUUUUUUUAAUUUUUCCGUUGCCUAGAAUAGAAGUAGAACUGUAGUGUGCUGCAUCUGGAGGUUUACCUCGAGUAGGUUUUACAUCUAUUAAAUUUCUUUGAAUGUCUUCCUUCAUCUUCUUUUAUACAAUAACCCCAAAAAUAAAAACAAAAUAAUGAGUGUAAGACCCAAUUUUAGUCCGGGCUACCUAAUUCCAGCCCAAUAAAUAAAACCCAAAUAAUCCACAUAAAAAAAUCCAAAAUUACAAAAACAAUUAACCCAAACAGCCCCAAAAUACCGCAAACCCAAAACACUUUUCAGCAAACCCUAAACACUAGAAGCCUCAUUUGCGCCGCAGCCACGAUCGCCUCCGCCAUACACGCGCGCCCUGCUCCACGUUCGCACCCACGUACCACGUCGCCCUCCUCCGCGUCUUCAUGACCUGCAAGUUGAACAAGAAAACAACAAGAAACAGUUUUGUACUUGGCUAUAAAACCUUUGAAUUUUUCAUUGUUUGGGGGGGUUCUUUCUUUUUUUGAGAGAAAUACAACACAGAUUGAGGAAAUCAAACAAAUAUACAGAAAUCAACAAAAGCAAUAGAAUACGUUUCAAAGGUUAUUUAUCGUCGUUUCUACUCUGUUUUAUUUUUUUUUUAUUUUUAUUCGAAUCUACAAGUAUAAAAUAUAAGAGAGAACGAGAGGCUUACCGGAGUUAUAUCGCGUUCACACCGUCGGUGGGCCUUGCUCCGCUGGUCACGAUCAGAUUUUGGAAAUGGUUGGGUUGAAAUGAACCUUUCGGCUGGAGAAUAAAGGGAGAGUAAGGGAGAUGAGAUAAUGUCUAAGGCAUUUGGGUUUUUUUUUUUUUAAAUAAAAGUUAAAAAGUUUUCUUUGAAGCAUAAAUUUUAAAGCAAGUUUUAGGUAAUAAAAUGAAACAGCAAUUGGGGUGGGGGGGGGGGGGGGGAGUUUGUCCACGUCUUUUGGCUAGGAGUAGGGGAUUUGCGCAUUUAGUCCCCCACUUUCGUACCAAUGUUCAUUUCGAUCAUUAAUUUUGCAUUGUUCUCAUUACUAUUUUUCUGUUCGUCGUAUUUUGCGAUUUAUUCGUUUAAAAUUUUCUUUCAUAUAUUUCUAUAUUUAAAGAUCUAUAUAUGUUCAACUCAAUACGAUUAUACAUGUAUAUAUGUAUCUUAUACUAAAGUAUUUUUACUCAAAAUAUGCGUUAUUGAUUUCCUAUUAUUUUAUGUAAAUAUUUCUUUUUUUUGUAUAUAUAUUAUUGAUUUUAUAUUAUUUUAUGUAUAUAUAUUUUCUUCUAAGGACCCUAUUUUUAUUGUAUAUUUUAUUUAUUUUAAAUACUUUCAUCUUUGUUUUUAUAUAUAAAAUUUUCAUUUCAUAUAUAUUAUUUAUUUAGAUUGACAAAUACUAUGUUAUAUAUUACUUAUAUAUAUACAUUAUAUAUUUUGAAAUUUCAUUUAUAUAUUAUUAUUUCAUAUAUGAUUUUUAUUUUAUUAUUUUUUUGUCUAUUUCGAACUUUCAUGUAUGUUACUUUAAGGUUUUAUAUAUGUUUGUUUGUUUGACGAUCACUUGCCACAUGUUAUCUGUGUUAAUUUGCUUGGAACUUCUUUAAAUUUGCUUUUAAUUCAUUAGCCUUCAAAUGUGAAUAUUGGUAUUUUUACAAUAUAUGGUAUGUCGUUUUUGCAUGUAUCCUAAUUUGUUCCUUUGUAUUUUCUCAUUAUUUAUCCAUGUCAUAUUACUUCUUUUACUUUAAAGUGAACCGAAUGGAUAUACUUUGAGCUGGUUUUGUAAUUAUUUAUUUAAAAAACUUCUGAAACAAGGCAAUGUUCUAUGUUUGGAAAUUCGAGAAAUCGUGCCCUAACGUGCUGGGUUUCGUUUUUUCGUCAGACCAAAUAAUUGAAUACCCUUUUCGUUGCAUUUUGGAAAUCGUGAGGAGAUCUCAAUUUUUGGAGGCUUAAAAUAUUGUGUCCUAACGUGCUGGAUGUGGUAUUUUAUUCCUUUGGAAUGAGCAAAUCUUAAAAUCCAACUCGAGUUGUGCACACACUUUUAAGGGGAUCGUAUUUUAGUGUUUUUUUUUAAAUUUUCAACAUUAGGACAUAAAUUAAUCAAUUAGGUACCAAUUUUGGGCGUUACGAGGGUGCUAAUCCUUCCUCGUAUGUAACCGACUCCCAAACCCAUUUCUUGAUUUUUCGUAGGCCAAAAUCCAUAUUUUAAUAAAAUUAUUUAUUAGGUGAUCCGAUCACACCUAAACCAAAAAAGAUUGAUGGCGAUUCCAUACCUCGUUUUAAAGUCGACCCCCGUUUUUUUUUAAACAUAAAAAAAAUGGUUUCGACAGCUUGGCGACUCCGCUGGGGACCAAUAAGAGAGUCAAGCCGUAAAAUUGAUUUUUAAUAUGAUCUUUUCGUUGCAUCUCAUGAGUUUUAUGGUUUUUAUCAUUUUAUUUAUUUUUUGAGUUUUGAGUUUUUAUGUCCCCUCGCAUUACAUAUUGCAUGACCGUUGUGGUUACAUUUUUUAAGUGGGAGUGAGAAACUAUGCAUUCGUGAGGUUUUCACCUCCGCAUGCGCUAGUAGAUUACUUCCGGGAUACAUUCGUACCUAUGUCUUCGUAAGAUUUUUAUCUCUGCAUGGUCAUAGGGAAAGGUAUUCCCCUGAUCUGAACUCGAUCCAUAUGAGCCUAUAAUGGGUGAGGAUUGAGGAAUCUGCUGGUUCAUGUAUCCUUUCUCUAGAACCAAACCACAUAUAGAGAGACUUAGGAACCCACCUUAGGUGGAGCCAUGCCCAAAUUUAGUGGUCACCUGAAUAUGUGCUUUAUUUGUUAUUUAUUUCUUCUGUACUAAAGUGUUUUGUUUUGUUUUGUUUAUGACUGCAUUGUAUUACAUCAUCAUAGAAAGGACGUGUUGAUUCAUAUUCGAUUGCUAAAUAGAACAGUUUGCCAUGAGAAAACGGAUUUCUUAAUAAAGUGGAUUAUAAUACGGUUGUCUGAAUAUGGUCCAAGUAAGUACAACGAAAGAAAGCUGAUAGUUUGUAGAGGAAAACAAGACUUUGCCCGAGGAUUCAAGCUGAUAAAGAUUGUUCGAGAGCCGUCGCGUCCCGACUUUCUUAAAGGAGCUAAUCAACAUUGCGAGGAUAAUAAGUCGCGGUCUGGAUCAAACAAAAAGGAGCUAGUGGAGGCAUCUAUUGGAAGUUUACGAGAUUUGACUUUUACGAAGAAAGAAAAUCGGUGUCUUCGCCUAGAACAUGAGGGCAGGGCCGCAUAUGUAAUCCGUUUUAUGUAAAGGAAUUUGUUUUCUAGAAAAGUUGUUUUAAUAGAAUUGAAUUCAGAAUCAACGCCUUUCUUUCUUUUGUAUUCAUUUCAUGCAUUUGCAUUGCAUUGCAUCAUUUGCAUUUGAUUUUUAUAAAAAGACCUUAAUUAAUUGAAAUCAUUUUAGUUAAUCUAGAAACCGAUAAGAACUUACCCACCAAGCGUCGUUACGGUACCCGUGCUAAGACAAAAGAUAUGGACCAAAGAUUGGAAAGACUUAAAAAACUUCAAAGAGAGAUGCAAGACCAGUUACAAAGGCAAAUGCAAGAGCAAUUGAUGAGGAUACGGUAAGAUAUGAGAGACCAAGUGCUAGAGUCUCAAAGGAAUAUGAUGAACCAGUUAUCCCAAUUGUUGACUAAGGGACUAGAAAAGAGGGAAAGCUCCAUGAUCAAUGCUGGGGUAGACAAUGAGCACCUUUCUAUCCUCUGGGUUUCACUCCGACAAAUGCACAGGCAUGUCCACAAGGUGUACCAAUUAUAAGAACUCAUCAAAAUCAGGCCAGUACCUCAGCACCAGUGAAUUACCUGAUAGGCUCAGACUCCAAUCUACGGGGCAAUCCAACUACCCCUGUAGUUCCUGAUUUGAACAAAAUGGAAAAAGUAAAGAUGGAACUGCCAAAACAACUCGAUGAUCGGUAUAGGUGGUUGAAGGAAAAAUUCAAGGCGAUGAAAAAUGCUGAUGAUUAUUGCAGAAUUGAUGCCAGGGACUUAAGCUUGGUUCCAGACUUAAUACUUCUUUACAAGUUCAAGAUGCCUGAAUUUGAAAAGUAUAAUGGGACUAGCUGUCCCAAAGCUCACAUUACCAUGUUUUGUAGACGAAUGACUGGGUAUGUCAAUAAUAACCAAUUAUUGAUUCACUGUUUCCAAGAAAGUCUGGUUGGGGCAGCAUCCAAAUGGUACAACCAAUUAAGCCGUACCUAAAUCAAUUUAUGGAAAGAUCUAGCACAAACUUUCAUGAAACAUUAUAGUCAUGUGAUGGAUAUGACUCCUGAUAGGAUUAUUUUACAGAGCAUGGAAAAGAAACAGAAUGAGAGUUUCCAGCAAUACGCCCAAAGGUGGAGGGAAGUUGCCAUACAAGUUCAGCCACCUCUCCUAGAAAAAGAGACUACCAUGCUUUUCAUCAAUACUCUUAAAGCCCCGUUCAUUAACCAUAUAUUGGGAAGCGCUACCUUGAGCUUUUUAGAUAUGGUAAUGUUUGGUGAAUUGAUUGAAAACGCAAUAAGGAGCGGAAAAAUAGAUCCAAGAGAAAGCGCUAAGAGGUCAACCCAAAAGAGAAAAAAAAGAAGUAAAUAUCGUGAGCAUGCCUUCCAAAUUGGUCAAUGUAAGCCAGCCGAGGGCUGUAACCACUAGGUAUCUAUCCGAAUGACAUAUCGCCGAAUCUGAAUGAUAUAUCUGAAGAGGGAACCAGGAAAUGAAAAUUUCCAAACCCUUAUGUACUUAGGAGUGUUUUGAAUAAUGGGAUUGUGGAAGAUAUCCCUGUAUUUUUAGAGCUAAUCUAGAAUAAUGUUCAAAAUACGCUUAUUGCUUUAAGCCUAGGGGCAAUAAGAACCCUUUUGUGAAAUAGGCUUGUGUUCAAAAUCUUUACUUCAAUCAAAAUGCAUCUUUUUGAGUAAAUGUUCUUUCAUUCGUGACAUUUUUUUUGUUCUUUGGACUGGCUUUUAAAUAUUCUUUUAUUCUUCAUUAAUGAUCAUAUCAUACAAAUAAUCAUCCUUAGAAUCAUUUAUUCUUUGGAAAUAUGCCUUUGUACCUACAAUAAGUCCCUAGAUAUCAACAAUAUGAACAACGCUGUAACUGACUCCUUUUUAGGGUAAGAUAUGUGUUUAAGCGAAUAUCAGGACUUUGAAGAUGGCAGAGAUUGUAACUUAUCUCAUGAUUUGUUAAUAAUGAUAGUGUAGGAUGACAAACAGAUCCUACUCUACAAAGGGACAAUGGACAUUGCGAGCCUAGGAAAGAGGUGGAGGUCGAAGCCUAGCCCACCUUAAAGCUAAAGUAAAUCGUCAUUGAGUUAUUCCAAGAAUUCAAAGAGGUUUUCGCGUGAUCACGUCAAGGUAUAUCUAAGAUAUUAAGACCUGUGAACGAUAAAAAAUGUCUAUACGGUGUCAGACGGACACAUAUUAAUAGUUUCACCGUAGCCACGCUAAUCAUGAGGUUUAGGUACUGUUGAUCCACCAUGGAAGGGGAUUGCAUCAGUUAUUUAGUGAGACAAUAUUCAUGUACCUUAUUCAUUUCUUCAUAGAUUUUCUCUAUGUGGGGCAUGGGUUUUAUCAGGUCAUUCUCAUCUAAUAUACAUCGAUUUAUCUUGGUAGUCGUCGCUGACUUCACGAAGAGGUGAAGGUCGCUUCAUAUGCCAAUAUUACAUAGUUGAUAGUCAUCAAAUUUCAGAAAAGAGUGCCGACAAAUAAUGUCAGAAAAGAUCAUACAACUACACAAUGUCAAAAUCUUGCAGUCUAUCCAAAGAUCAGACACCAUAUCACAGUGCAACAAAGGUAGCCAAAAAGAAAAAUACAAAAAAAGGGAAUAAAAUAAAAUAAAACGAAGGUCAUAGUGAAAGGUGACUCAGACUUGUAAAGAUUGGCAUAAAGAAGCUACCUUUUAUGCUUAUCGAACGUUGACUAGGACUCAUUGGGGAAACAUAUUGCUCAUUGGUUUAUGGGAUAAAAAUGGUUUUAAAGAUGAGAUUCUUUUCCUCUGAGUCUUGUUAGAGUUACAAUUGGAUAGGGCAGAAUAGAUUUAAGCUCGAUAUGAUCAGUUGAAUUCGAAGAGAGGAGAUUCUGCCGUGGUCUAAUACACUAGAAAUGAAUGAUGUGAGCUUACAACAAAGAGGUUCAUCCUAAAAAAUUCCAUGAGGGGAACUUGAUAUUGAAGAAGAUCUUUCCUAUACAAAAGGACUUCAAAGGAAGAAAUAUGCCAAACCAGGAGGAUUGAUAUUGACUAAGAUGGAUGGUAAGGACCUGCCCAAUCCGGUGAACUCAGAUUCAGUCACAGUUAAUGGUUUCAAAAAAACACAAAAAAGAAAAGAAAAAGAAAUAGGAGAGGCCAAGGCGAAAACCCACAAAGGGCGCCUUGAGACCAAAGAGGAUUUGAGUUGAAAACCAGAAAAUGGUGGCUCAAAUUUGGACCAAAGAUGGGGCAAGUGGUAGUCUUGCUAUGCCUAAAUUAACAAUAAAGAAGUAUGCUACGUCUGGGGGAAUCGACAAAGUGCUCUGGAUCCCCUAAACACAUAUUGAGCUCAAAAUGGUCCUCAAGAAGUUUGGACAGAGAAGCUCAAGCUGCGAUAUCUGGGGCACCUAGUUUUCUAUUUUACCAAUUUUUGAAUUUGUUAUCUUUGAUUACCUUAUUCUUUUUACGUCCCAAUAAGUUUCCUUCUUAAUUGCACUUGCUAUCUUUAGUUGACUUAUUUGCUUCGAGUUAUAUUUCUGGUUCAUUGUUAUUUUUUAAGUAUUUUUGCAUUGCAAUAAUGAUUAGUGGACUAAUAAUACUUUUGUAAAAGAAGUUUCACAUAUUACUCUAGAAGUUUUUAAAUAAUAUAAGAGCUUGAAAAUGACUAUUGUUUAAAAAUCACCAAGCUUAGGGGUUGGAAAUAUUUAAGCCCAAAUUGAAAUUAUUUCCUUGAGUUUUCUGUCAAAGAUAUUGGUUGAGCAAAAAAGAAAAUUACAUUGGUGUUACAAUCCCGGCAAAGAACGAGUGAUGAGCUUAUUCUCGAGAGAAAGAAAAUGAUAUUCUGUAUUCAUGCAGAUAUCAAGCAUAUACAUCUGGUCGUUACACCUAUGGAAUGGUGUAACAGAUCAGAUGGAUUGAAGAUGAUGCAAAUCCUAUACCUCUGAGUUGCAGCAGGAUGGAUAGAAAAAACCAAAUGUUAUUCCCCUAAAGUUGCAGUGGGAAGUACAAACUUUAUGUCCCAGAAGGUACAGUGGAGGGGACUUUGAAACUACAGUGGGGCAAGCCAGUUCGGCAAAAUGGGUUGUUUCUGUGGGUUUUCGUUGGAAAUGCUAAUCUAGCAGAAAGGCAGCGUAAUACUACAGUGAUAAAACUCUGAUUAAUAACGAAUGAUGACACUUAAAGUUUUUAAAAAAAAAAAACCAUUUUCAUGACUUUUCUACAUUCAUAUCAUUUAUAACACAUUUGGUUAGGAGCAUCUGAUUCAUAACAUUCUAAUCAUUUGGCAUAAACAUAGGCAUGAAACCGAGUCUGCAGGGUAUGUUCUUCAGAGGAUAGUAUAGCGACAUCGGUGAAAUUUACAGAUCUUAUCUCCAUGUAUCGGCUAUGGAGCAGGUUGAAAAUGGCGAGUCUUAUCUCUAUGUAUCAGCUAUGGAGCAGAUUUUGGCUACCAGCCUUAUCUCUCUAAGGUAGCAAAAGAGCAGGUUGAAGAUGCAUGUCUUAUCUUCCUGAGGUAGCAAGGAAGCAGACUAAAAUUUACAGAUAUUAUCUCCAUGUAUCGGCUAUGAAGUAGAUUGAAAAUGGCGAGUCUUGUCUCCAUGUAUCGGCUGUGGAGCAGAUUUUAGCCACCAGUCUUAUCUCUCUAAGGUAGCAAGAGAGCAGGUUGAAGAUACAGGUCUUAUCUUCCUAAGGUAGCAAAGAAGCAGACUGAAAUUUACAGAUUUAUCUCCAUGUAUUGGCUAUGGAAUAUAUCAAAAAUGACGAGUCUUAUCUCUAUGUAUCAGCUAUGGAGUAGAUUUUAGCCACUAACCUUAUUUCUCUAAGGUAGCAAGAGAGCAGGUUGAAGAUAUAGGUCUUAUCUUCCUGAGGUAGCAAGGAAGCAGACUGAAAUUUACAGAUCUUAUCUCCAUGUAUCGGCUAUAGAGUAGAUAAAAAAUAGCGAGUCUUAUCUCCAUGUAUUGACUAUGGAGCAGAUUUUAGCCACCAACCUUAUCUCUCUAAGGUAGCAAGAGAGCAGGUUGAAGAUACAGGUCUUCUCUUCCUAAGGUAGCAAGGAAGCAGACUAAAAUUUACAGAUCUUAUCUCCAUAUAUCGGCUAUGGAGCAGAUCGAAAAUGGCGAUUCUUAUUUCCAUGUAUCGGCUAUGCAGCAGAUUUUAGCCACCAACCUUAUCUCUCUGAGGCAGCAAGAGAGCAGGUUGAAGAUAUAAAUCUUAUCUUCCUGAGGUAGCAAGUAAGCAGACUAAAAUUUACAGAUCUUAUCUCCAUGUAUCGGCUAUAGAACAGAUCGAAAAUGGCGACUCUUAUCUCUAUGUAUUGGCUAUGGAGCAGAUUUUGGCCACCAGCCUUAUCUCUUUGAGGUAGUAAGAGAGCAGGUUGAAGAUACAAGUCUUAUUGUCCUGAGUUACAGUGGAGUAGACUGAAAGUUACAGAUAUUAUCUCCUUAAGCAGUAGUAGAGCAGAUCGAAGACGGUGAAUCUUAUCUCCAUGUAUCAGCAAUGGAGCAGAUUUAAGCCACUAGCCUUAUCUCCCUGAAGUUGCAGUGGAGCAGGCUCAAAAUUACAAGUUUUAUCUCCCUGGGGUCACAAUGGAGCCUACUGAGGACAUAGAGUGGAUUAAAAGCACAAUUUCUAUACUUCUAAAGAUGCAGUGGGUUGGAAUGCGAUUACUUGGGGAAGAGGUGCAUAAAGAAGUCGAGAUGUAACAAGACCGGGAAAAAUUGACUCUUUUUGUGGUCUUUGCUUCAUUCUCGUUACACGACAACAAGCAAAGAAGGGCAGCUGUAAGACCCAAUUUUAGCCCGAGCUACCUAACUCCAGCCCAAUAAAUAAAACCCAGAUAAGCCACAUAAAAAAAUCCAAAAUUACAAAAACAAUUAACCCAAACAGCCCUAAAAUACCCCAAACCCAAAACACUUUUUAGGAAACCUUAAACACUAGAAGCCUCCUUUGCGCCGCAGCCACGAUCGGCUCCGCCAUACACGGGCGCCCUGCUCCACGUCUGCACCCACGUACCACGUCGCCCUCCUCUAGGUCUUCAUGACUUGUAAGUUAAACAAGAAAACAACAAGAAGCGGUUUUGUACUUGGCUAUAAAGCCUUUGAAUUUUUCAUUAUUUGGGGGGGUUCUUUCUUUUUUUGAGAGAAAUAGAACACAGAUUGAGGAAAUCAAACAAAUAUAAAGAAAUUAACAAAAGCAAUAGAACACAUUUCAAAGGUUAUUUAUCAUUGUUUCUACUCUGUUUUGGUUUUUUUUAUUCGAAUCUACAAGUAUAAAGCAUAAGAGAGAACGAGAGGCUUAUUGGAGUUAUAUCGCGUUCACGCCGUCAGUGGGCCUUGCUCCGCUGGUCACGAUUAGAUUUUGGAAAUGGUUGGGUUGAAAUGAGCCUUUCGGCUGGAGAAUAAAGGGAGAGUGAGGGAGAUGAGAUAAUGUCCAAGGCAUUUGGGUUUUUUUUAAAUAAAAGUUAAAAAGUUUUCUUUGAAGCACAAAUUUUAAAGCAGGUUUUAAGUAAUAAACUGAAACAACAAUUGGGGUGAGGGGGAAGUUUGUCCGCGUCUUUUGGCUAUGAGUGGGGGAUUUGCGCAUUUAGUCCCCCACUUUCGUACCAAUGUUCAUUUCGAUCAUUA